UUCGUAGGCGGUUAUUUAAGUCAGGUGUGAAAGGCAUAGGCUCAACCUGUGUAAGCACUUGAAACUGAAUGACUUGAGUUAAGGAGAGGAAAGUGGAAUUCCUAGUGUAGCGGUGAAAUGCGUAGAUAUUAGGAGGAAUACCAGUGGCGAAGACGACUUUCUGGACUUAUACUGACGCUGAGGAACGAAAGCGUGGGGAGCAAACAG
rnacentral:rRNA from 1 species